UCAGAUCACUAGACGAUCGCGUGUACCUUUAAACAGUAUUCGAGGAAAGUCCGGGCAGCAUAGGACAAAGACAGCCGCUAACGGCGGCCGGGGGUAACCCUAGGGAAAGUGCCACAGAAACAAAACUACCCCGCUGAUGCGGGGAAAAGGUGAAACGCGCGGUGUAAGAGACCGUAGUCGCGCAUGGUAACAUGCGAGAGAGGUAAACCCUGUCUGCUGCAAGGAGAUGUAGUCCCAGCGCAAGCUGGCUAGUCCGGUUGUACUACAUCGACAAACCCGCUUGACCCUAUGAGCAAUUAUGGGGCUAGAUAGAUGAUCGUUCGAGAGUUUACUCUUACAGAACCCGGCUUAUCGGUGAUCUGACACC
rnacentral:RNase_P_RNA from 1 species